CUGGAUUUGAAGCAAUGACUUACAGAAAUGGUGCACAACUUUGUGUUGGGCCUUUGCACAGGGGUGAAUUUCACCCAGAGUAAGAAUUAACCAUGUGAGGCUUGGAGGAAGUAACUAGGAUGAAAGUCCUGGCUCCAGACAGGAGUGGAGAUCAAUGCGACGUCUGUGUGGAAAUGACUCCAAUCCCUUCUGACUACUCCAUCAGUGCCUGUUACUCCGAGACAGUCUGCCUGUGACUGAGACUGCAGCUGCACCUUACUGCAGGGACCCAGGAAGAGAAGAAACACAUGGCUGCAGGAGCACUGCAUAUUGCAUAACAGUGAAGAGCCUCUGCUAAGCCCUGAUGGUAUUGCCAAGGUGGCAGCCCUCAUUUACAUGGCACUUCCCAUAAUGCUCUCUGUGAUUUUCUGUCAACCUUCGGCAAUUCUCCCUCACUCAAAUAGGAGUGGUGCUGAAGUAACAACCUCCAAUGUCACGGUGGCCUAGGA